rnacentral:rRNA from 1 species
UGCGUAGGCGGAAGAUUAAGUCAGUGAUGAAAUCCUGCAGCUCAACUGUAGAACUGUCAUUGAUACUGAUUUUCUUGAAUACAGUUGAGGUAGGCGGAAUAUGUAAUGUAGCGGUGAAAUGCUUAGAUAUUACACAGAACACCGAUUGCGAAGGCAGCUUACUAAACUAUGAUUGACGCUGAGGCACGAAAGCGUGGGGAGCGAACAGGAUUAGAUACCCUGGUAGUCC